rnacentral:lncRNA from 1 species
UGUGUCAUAUGUGUGUGUUACGGGGGUGUUACAUGGGGGUGUUGUACGUGUGUGUUAUGGGGAGUUACAUGGGGGUGUUACACGUGUGUGUCAUACGUGUGUAUUAUAGGGGAGUUACAUGGGGGUGUCAUACGGGGAUGUGUUAUGGGGGUGUUACAUGGGGGUGUCAUACGUGUGUGUUACGUGUGUGUGUCGUAUGUGUGUGUUACAGGGGCGUUACAUGGGGGUGUCUUACGUGUGUGUUAUGGGGAGUUACAUGGGGGUGUCAUGCAGGGGUGUGUUAUGGGGGUGUUACAUGGGGGUGUCAUACAUGUGUGCUACAUGUGUGUGUCAUACGUGUGUGUUACAGGGGUGUCACGGGGGUGUUGCAGGGGUGUGUUACAUGUGUGUCGUGUGUGUUACAGGGGUGUUACGUGUGUGUCAUACGGGGGUGUGUUAUGGGGGGUGUUACAUGGGGUAUCAUACGUGUGUCAUGUCUGUGUCAUACAUGUGUGUGUUACAGGGGUGUGUCAUACAGGGGUGUGUUAUGGGGAUGUUAUGGGGGUGUUACAUGGGGUGUCAUAUGGGGGUGUUACAUGUGUGUGUCAUACAUGUGUGUGUUAUGGGGUGUUACAUGUGUGUGUCAUACAGGGGUACAGGGGUGUGUUAUGGGGGUGUUACAUGGGUGUUACGUGUGUGUGUCAUAUGUGUGUGUUAUGGGGGCGUUACAGGUCUGUUACAUGUGUGUGUCAUAUAUGUGUGUUAUGGGGUGUUAUGGGUGUGUGUGUCAUAGGUGUGUGUUACAUGUGUCUGUCGGGUGUGUUAUGGGGGUGUUACGUGUGUGUCAUGUGUGUAUGUCAUGCAUGUGUGUUGCAUAUGUGUGUGUCUCGUGUGUGUUAUGGGUGUGCGUGUGUCAUACAUGUAUGUGUGUGUGCUGUGGGGGUGUGUUCCGUGUGUGUCACAGGUGUGUGCCAUACGUGUGUGUUAGGGUGUGCUUGUGUCAUACAUGUGUGUGUUACACGUGUGUAUUACAGGUGUGCAUGUCUCAUGUGUGUUACAUGUAUGUGUCAUGCAUGUUACAGGUGUGUAUCAUAUGUGUGUGCGUGUUACAUCUGUGUGUGUGUCAUAUGUGUUAUGGGUGUGCGUGUCAUAUAUGUACUACAUGUGUCCCUGCAUUAUACGUGUGUGCUACACGUGUCCUUACGUCACAUAUGUGUGCAAGUGUGUUCCUAUGUCAUACAGGUGUUGUGUGUCCCGUGUGCGUGUUACGCGUCCUCAUGUCACGCGUUCGUGCCACACGUCUCGUCACGGCACAAAUUCAGCUUUUCUAAACGUGGGGAUUUUGUGAAUUCACCCCACAGACAGCUGUGUUGUCCGGGUUGCUCCCUGGAUGCGGUCACACCCGGACAUCCCCCCCC